rnacentral:SRP_RNA from 1 species
GCCGGGCGCGGUGGCGCGCGCCUGUAGUCCCAGCUACUCGGGAGGCUGAGGCAGGAGGAUCGCUUGAGCCCAGGAGUUCUGGGCUGUAGUGCGCUAUGCCGAUCGGGUGUCCGCACUAAGUUCGGCAUCAAUAUGGUGAUCUCCCGGGAGCGGGGGGCCACCAGGUUGCCUAAGGAGGGGUGAACCGGCCCAGGUCGGAAACGGAGCAGGUCAAAACUCCCGUGCUGAUCAGUAGUGGGAUCGCGCCUGUGAAUAGCCACUGCACUCCAGCCUGGGCAACAUAGCGAGACCCCGUCUCUU